UCUAAGGCCAUGCGAGUCGGGAGGUGCAAGACCUCGGCAUACUGCUCAGUAACACGUGGACAACCUAACCUAAGGUGGGGGAUAACCCCGGGAAACUGGGGAUAAUACCCCAUAGACUAUAGAAGCUGGAAUGCUCUGUAGCUGAAAGGUCAGCCGCCAUAGGAUGGGUCUGCGGCCGAUUAGGUAGUUGUUGGGGUAACGGCCCAACAAGCCUGUAAUCGGUACGGGUUGUGGGAGCAAGAGCCCGGAGAUGGAUUCUGAGACACGAAUCCAGGCCCUACGGGGCGCAGCAGGCGCGAAAACUUUACAAUGCGGGAAACCGUGAUAAGGGAACUCUGAGUGCCCGUUAAAUCGGGCUGUCCAUCAGUUUUAAAAAACUGGUGAAGAAAGGGCCGGGCAAGACCGGUGCCA
rnacentral:rRNA from 1 species